AGAGUCCCUCGGGUCUCAGGUCAUGGCGAUCCCGGGGCCCGCGCCCGGAGCUGGCGCCAGGCCCAGGUUAGAUCUGCAAUUUCUCCAGCGGUUCCUGCAGAUACUGAAGGUUUUGUUUCCUUCUUGGUCGUCACAGAAUGCCUUGAUGUUCCUGACCCUUUUGUGCCUGACCCUCCUGGGGACCAGCGCAUCAGCCAGGAUGUGGAGCGAUUCUGCCGGCAGCUCAGCAGCAUGGCCAGCAAGCUGAUCAUCUCCCCGUUCACCCUCGUCUACUACACUUACCAGUGCUUCCAAAGCACAGGCUGGCUCGGGCCUGUGAGCAUCUUCGGGUAUUUCAUCUUGGGGACCAUGGUGAACAAAACUUUGAUGGGCCCCAUUGUGACGAAGCUGGUGCAUCAGGAGAAGCUGGAGGGAGAUUUUAGGUGUGUCUCCCUCACUUGAGGUUUCUGGGCUGGGGCAUAAUGGUUAAGGAAGGGGAUCUGGAGUAAGACUGCCUAAGCUCAAAUCCUAGCUGUGCAUGUUACUAGCUGUGUGAUCUUGGAGAGG
rnacentral:sRNA from 1 species